GGGCCCGCACAAGCGGUGGAGCAUGUGGUUUAAUUCGAUGAUACGCGAGGAACCUUACCAGGGCUUAAAUGUAGGUUGCAUGAUCUAGAGAUAGAUCUUUCUUCGGACUACCUACAAGGUGCUGCAUGGUUGUCGUCAGCUCGUGCCGUGAGUGUCAGGUUAAGUCCUAUAACGAGCGCAACCCCGUCGUUAGUUACCAGCAAUUAAAAGCUUGGGGUACUCAUAGCGAGACUGCCGGUGCAAAACCGUGAGGAAGGUGGGGGAUGACGUCAAAUCAUCACGGCCCUUACGUCCUGGGCUACACACGUGCUACAAUGGCCGGUACAGAGAGCAGCCACUACGCGAGUAGGAG
rnacentral:rRNA from 1 species